CCAAUACGGGAGGCAGCAGCUAAGAAUAUUCCGCAAUGGACGGAAGUCUGACGGAGCGACGCCGCGUGGAUGAAGAAGGCUGAAAAGUUGUAAAAUCCUUUUGUUGAUGAAGAAUAAGGGGAAGAGGGAAUACUUCUCUGAUGACGGUAAUCGGCGAAUAAGCCCCGGCUAAUUACGUGCCAGCAGCCGCGGUAAUUUGG
rnacentral:rRNA from 1 species